CCUGCGUGAGGAUGGCGAUGACGAAGAUGACACAGAUAAGGAACUCCUGUCCUUCUUGCCCGACCUGGACGAGAGGCGGUGGCGCCGUGAGCAGAUCAACAAGAUCAGAGACUUCCUGAACUCAGCUGUGGCGAGGGAGACAGACCUCACGCUACUACUGGACUGGCUCACCGAAGCACAGGAGUCACUACAGACGUUUGAGAACGCGAGAGCUACAAAGAAAGAGGGGAACGAGGAGGAGGUUACAUCAGAAUGGAUCGAAGACAUACAGAGAAAGUUGGAGACGUCUAUCAAUGAUACGGACGGCUGCAUUCACCGCCUACGUGGCCUCUGCCAAGGUCUCUUUGACACCGACGUGAAUAAAAAGACCAAGAAGGAGGAAGCUGCUCUGAAUAAGGGUGUGUGGCGCUGGUGGAGGGAGCAGAAGGUGGAUGCACGGACCAUCAAACGAAUCCAGGAGCUCAAGCCUCCUGCUGCAGACGUAUUUCUAUCGGACGUCAACCUGGCCACCAAGUCUGCCACGGAGCUGUCCUUCGUGCUCUUAGACGUAGCCAAGUCACUGGGCUGCAA